CGUUUAUGCUUUUUAACCAAAAUGAGGGGGUGGCGGGCCCCUCGGACCCCUACCCUGGAUCUGCCACAGGUGAUACAGGUUCCAUUUAUCACUUUUAGUUUUAGUGGAUGCCAGAAGCUAUAAUAUCCAUUUCCCUAUUGAAUAAGUGUGUAGAAGAGCUGUAAACGAACCAUUUAUUUACAAACUUUUAUCAUUUAUGCACUCGUUUCACCGUUUAAAAAGAGCUGAAUGAAGCAAAAGUAAUAAUAAUAAUAAUAAUAAUAAUAUAAAUGAUAAUAAAUAGGGUUUGGUAUAGGUCGUUCUUUAGGGAACUUAAUUAACAUACAAUUAACUUGUCGGGAUUGUGGUUAAAUGGGUUGUCAGACCUAAAUUACGAUUCUUGUUGCAAAAAUAAAGUUUUCAAUUCAUGAAGCUAUUAACUCAUCGAACGAAUGCUGUUUACACUAAUUCAGGAUUCAAACGGCGGACAUAAGAAAUAAUUGGUGAUACUGUAACCUAAAAAUGACCGUUGUUUAACGUCUCGAUGUUUUCUUAAACAUAAUCAUCUAGAAAAUAUUCAUUAAGGUCGUGUUAAGGGACAAAAUAUCAAAUUAACAUAAUGUUAGCAUUCAUGGGUUCGUGGUUUUGAUAGUUUUCUUACGGAUUUGAUCACUUUGGACGAUAACUGACGGGCGCAGUUCUAUAAUAAAUAAUAUAUAAUUCAAGUCAAUCAAAUUUACUACGACAUACUCUGAAAGUGUUCUUUCAUUGUGCUCUUCGCACCAGUGAAUUUAAGUAUGAGAACGCUGACGGUAAUCACAUUCUUAACUAAAUUUAAAAAGCUUCAAACGUGUCACGCUCUUGCAAGUAACGCAUGCCUUGUUUAGUUGACGAGCAAUCACGCAUUCGUUCUCAUGUUGACUUGCUACUUAGGAAUAAUAUUUCAGUAUAUGUUGGUACUUAGAAGAAAGGUAAAGUCAGAACAAUUAUUAUGGAAGAUAAUUCAACAGGCAAUCAAGUUCUUGAAGACGCUGGAAAUCAAAUCAGAGAAGCCUGCGAGGUAUUACAAAGAGAAGCAACAAGGCUUCGCCAGGAGCAGAAAGCCAUCGACGCCAUGUCGAAAAAAAUAGAGCACGUUCAUCUCUCGUCGACUGUUAACCUCAAUGUUGGCGGCCGCCGUUUUACGACAAGUCUUCAAACAUUGACAAAAGAUCCAGACUCGAUAUUGGCUGCCAUGUUUUCUGGGAAGUUCGACGUAAAACCAUCAGAAGACGGAGCUUUCUUUAUCGACCGAGACGGAAAACACUUCCGGUUCAUACUUAAUUAUCUUCGUACAGGGAAAUUAACUUUGCCAGAUGGAGCAACAUUUCGAAAGGAACUUGCAGAAGAAGCUGAGUUCUAUCAGAUCCAAGGGAUACUGGACGAAUUAGUGCCUAAAGCGCCGAAGAAUUUCGAAGAAUCAGUCAUUCUGACGAAUGAAGAGCACCGAAGUGUGUUAAGUGGUUGGUUGCCUCCACAAGAAGGCAAAUGGAAGCUUCUGAUGUGAGCUUCUCAAGAUGGCUUUGCAGCUCAAACCUUCCAUUCCAAAUGUGACAAUAAAGGGCCCACUGUCACUAUUGUGAAGAGUGGAAAUCACAUUUUUGGAGGAUUCACUGAAAAAUCUUGGGGCAGUCAGGAUGACUUCUUGCUAUGCACACAGUCAUUCGUGUUUAGCAUGGUGAACCCCCACAGAGUAACUGCGUGUAAACUGCCACUCGUCAACGAUCAGGAAGACGCCAUUUACUGUGACAGCUACCAUGGACCAACAUUUGGAGGAGGAAAGGGUUUAAAAAGACAUCAACAACAACGAAAGCCAUAGAAGUUUCCCGGCAAACUAGGACAGGGCAGUGGAGACAAUUACCAUUUGGGUAACGGGAUAAAGAGAUACGAUGGUGUGUUAGAGCGCUUGGCCCUCGAUCGAGGGUGCAAGUUUCGAGCCCCAGAAUGACGAGUACCUCGACCUAAAAGCGUCUAACCCGUCACGCUAUCGUGAAUAGCACAUCCACGCUUUCAUUCGAAGUUUUCAACCCCGCAUGCUUCUGUGAAACAACAUUUUACGAUUUGUUGGUACUCAGAGGAAAGGUAACGUAAAAAAAGUUCUUAUGGAAAAUAAUUCAACUGGCAAUCAAGUUCUUGAAGAUGCUGAAAGUCAAAUGAGAGAAGCUUGCGUAAUAUUACAACGAGAAGCAACAAGGCUUCGCCACGAGCAAGAAACCAUCGACGCUAUGUCGAAAAAAAUAGAGCACUUUCAUCUCUCUUCGAUUCUCAACCUCAAUGUUGACGGCCUUCGUUUCACGACAAGUCUUCAAACGCUGACACUGAAAAGACCCAGGCUCGAUGUUGGCUGCCGUUUUCUGUGGGAAGUUAAAAAUGAAACCAUCGGAAGACGGAGCUUUCUUUAUCGACCGAGAUGGGAAACACUGACUUCCGGUUCAUACUUAAUCAUCUUCGUACAGGGUUAUUAACUUUGCCAAGGGAGCAACAUUUUUGGAUAAACUUGCCGAGGAGGCUGAGUUUUACCAGAUCCAAGGGACACUGGACGAGUUAGUACCUAAAGUGCCGAGGCG